UAACGUUGGCAAAUAUCCAAAAAUACAGAUAACUCCGUCACCGUUCAAGAGCACUUAUGAGAGCUGCAGACGCUGCAAGGGAGACCGGACUAUCUGCUCACAGCAACAAUAGGAGGCUGCGAGGCCACGACUCCUCCCCUCACCUGCUGCGUCCCCGCCAAC